UCUGGAAGCACUGACUCUUCUUAAGCUCUACUUGUCAAAUGUGACAUCUCUGUAUUGCUUCUCUAGCUGGUGGGGUGCCAGUCUUCCCAGCUCGCGAGCACAAUGGGUCGUAUGUAUAUUUGUAACAUGGAUGUCUAUCCUUUUCUUCAUUAGAAGGUCCCUCCUUUAACAUGUGAAAUUAAGUAGAAGACUUGAUCUUACAGAUCUCUUGAGUUGUCCACACAGAAGUCUCUUCAAUGUUGUGCGGGAUUUCCCAUUGCUCCAAUUUCCACCGUGCCCCCCGGUGGUGAUAUUUUUGACUCUUGUUCUGUUUCAAUCCUGUCAUCUGUGGAUGAAAUAAUGCUCCCCUCGCUAGAACCACAGGAGAGACGGUUCUGGCGUCUGCUGCAUACUGUGUCCAUUCCUGUGCUGCCCGCAGACUAUGAAACCCUCAAUCACCAUGGUGAAUUUCCACUUGGAAGAUCUGUUGUCCUGUCUUCACUGUGAUGUCUUGGCAUCACUCGAGGUGUGAAAUGGCUCUGCGCCACAUGGAGAAAGAGCAAAAUGUCACUUUCGAGGUUUGUGACAAAAUUUCGUGAUAGAUUCUUCGGGUGGAGUGAGAGGCCUUUCUCACUGCUGUGACACUGCUGCUGAGGUGGAAAAGCUGAAGAACAGAUUAUUCAGUUUCUACACGGAGCCCUGCUCGACAUGAUGCUAAAACAUGGUGUUUUUUGGACCCAGGUUUUCACUGAUAACAAAGAGGAAGAUUAAGACCAGGAAGCUGGUUUACAGCCAUCAUAAUCUGCAAAGAGGUCUCUGCCAGGGCAGCAAGCAUCCAUUUCUUUCUUCCAGUACAUCAGACAGUGGGCAGGAAAAGAUGAGCUUUCAAAGGGUCAGUUUUCUUCUACCAUUACAAAGUUUAGUGCCUUAAAAAAAAAAAUCAACAGAACUGGGAAAUCUCACUUUGGGAGACAGCCUGGCCCUUCUUCAUAACCCGUUCCUCCAAGCAAACUUGAUUUGCUUAUUAAAAUAGGCAUGAAGAAGCUCUUCCGUGAAGCUUCCUUUUCCACCUGAUGUGUAUGAAAGGUUUCAAGAACUUGGCUGCACUCCCCCAGCAGUUUCUUGAGGACAACACAGAUGAAUCUGGGAAAAUCAGCAUAGAGGAAGAAUCACAUGUUAUACCAGAAUCACAUGUUAUUUCCAUCCGGGUCAACUCUUAAGACUGCUUCUGAAUCCUUCGGUUGUGAUGAAUGUGGGACACCUUUCGAGAUGGGGGAGUUCAGAUCUUGCACAGAAAGCUUCUUUGUUCCUCCAAGGACUUUGAAGACAUCGCCCACCCCUACAGUGGUUUGGAAUGUGGAGAGAGGAUUUUGGUUCUCACCAUUGACCAGGAGUUGUUCUUGGCUUUUGGUGGUAAUGUGCAGGAUGUUCUCACACCACAAGUAAUUGUCCGGCCUCAAAUCCCAACGGUCCCUUCACGUAGGAAACGUUCCCCACUCCUCUCCCAGGUCCUGCCUCUGGUUUAGGUUGUAGACUCUGGGAGAGAACGGGUGUGGUGGGCUCUCUUCACUGCCCUGACGGAAGGGCACCUAGAAGAGCGCCUUCCAUGCAGUGAGUGCUCAGUAAACAUUUGUUGAGGAAAUGCCACUUAUAAAGACAGUGAUUGAUUGGUGGACAAUAAGAUACAUAAAAUAAAAACCUACUGACCCAAGUUCAAUUUCCCUGGGCCUUC
ensembl:lncRNA